GACGAACGCUGGCGGCGUGCCUAAUACAUGCAAGUAGAACGCUGAAGGAGGAGCUUGCUUCUCUGGAUGAGUUGCGAACGGGUGAGUAACGCGUAGGUAACCUGCCUGGUAGCGGGGGAUAACUAUUGGAAACGAUAGCUAAUACCGCAUAAUAGUAGAUGUUGCAUGACAUUUACUUAAAAGGUGCAAUUGCAUCACUACCAGAUGGACCUGCGUUGUAUUAGCUAGUUGGUGGGGUAACGGCUCACCAAGGCGACGAUACAUAGCCGACCUGAGAGGGUGAUCGGCCGCACUGGGACUGAGACACGGCCCAGACUCCUACGGGAGGCAGCAGUAGGGAAUCUUCGGCAAUGGACGGAAGUCUGACCGAGCAACGCCGCGUGAGUGAAGAAGGUUUUCGGAUCGUAAAGCUCUGUUGUAAGAGAAGAACGAGUGUGAGAGUGGAAAGUUCACACUGUGACGUAUCUACCAGAAAGGGACGGCUAACUACGUGCCAGCA
rnacentral:rRNA from 1 species